GACGAACGCUGGCGGCGUGCUUAACACAUGCAAGUCGAGCGGUAAGGCCCUUUCGGGGGUACACGAGCGGCGAACGGGUGAGUAACACGUGGGUGACCUGCCCUCAGCUCUGGGAUAAGCCUGGGAAACCGGGUCUAAUACUGGAUAUGACUCCAUGACGCAUGUUGUGGGGUGGAAAGCCUUGUGCGGCUGAGGAUGGGCCCGCGGCCUAUCAGCUUGUUGGUGGGGGAUGGCCUACCAAGGCGACGACGGGUAGCCGGCCUGAGAGGGCGACCGGCCACACUGGGACUGAGACACGGCCCAGACUCCUACGGGAGGCAGCAGUGGGGAAUCUUGCGCAAUGGGCGAAAGCCUGACGCAGCGACGCCGC
rnacentral:rRNA from 1 species